rnacentral:rRNA from 1 species
UACGUAGGGUGCAAGCGUUAAUCGGAAUUACUGGGCGUAAAGCGUGCGCAGGCGGUUAUGCAAGACAGAGGUGAAAUCCCCGGGCUCAACCUGGGAACUGCCUUUGUGACUGCAUGACUAGAGUACGGUAGAGGGGAUGGAAUUCCGCGUGUAGCAGUGAAAUGCGUAGAUAUGCGGAGGAACACCGAUGGCGAAGGCAAUCCCCUGGGCCUGCACUGACGCUCAUGCACGAAAGCGUGGGGAGCAAACAGG